rnacentral:rRNA from 1 species
GAUGAACGCUGGCGGCGUGCCUAACACAUGCAAGUCGAACGGAGAUUCCGGACGGAAGUUUUCGGAUGGAAGCCUGUAAUUCUUAGUGGCGGACGGGUGAGUAACGCGUGGGCAACCUGCCCUAUACAGGGGGAUAGCAGCUGGAAACGGCUGGUAAGACCGCAUAAGUCGGCGAGACCGCAUGGUUUUGCCGGGAAAUGAGCAAUCAGGUAUAGGAUGGGCCCGCGUCCGAUUAGCCAGUUGGCAGGGUAAAAGCCUACCAAAGCAACGAUCGGUAGCCGGACUGAGAGGUCGGACGGCCACAUUGGGACUGAGACACGGCCCAAACUCCUACGGGAGGCAGCAGUGGGGGAUAUUGCACAAUGGAGGAAACUCUGAUGCAGCGACGCCGCGUGAGUGAAGAAGUAUUUCGGUAUGUAAAGCUCUAUCAGCAGGGAAGAUGAUGACGGUACCUGGCUAAGAAGCCCCGGCUAACUACGUG